rnacentral:misc_RNA from 1 species
CUGCGAUAACCGCAGCCGAUCCGAGGAUAAGGCUCUUAAUGGUGCUCAUAAAACCUCCAAGUUUUGCUCUCUAGGGAAGGUUCCAGGCCGGUGGUGUAAGUCACACCACGUNNCCACGUGGUAGGUUCCCUUGAUCCCCGCUAACCGCCCGGUCGCCUCGCGCUUUCGGACACUCCCGCUGAACGCGAGCGACUUAAGCGAAACUCCCAAACGGGAC